rnacentral:rRNA from 1 species
GACGAACGCUGGCGGCGUGCUUAACACAUGCAAGUCGAACGGAAAGGCCCUGCUUUUGUGGGGUGCUCGAGUGGCGAACGGGUGAGUAACACGUGAGUAACCUGCCCUUGACUUUGGGAUAACUUCAGGAAACUGGGGCUAAUACCGGAUAGGAGCUCCUGCUGCAUGGUGGGGGUUGGAAAGUUUCGGCGGUUGGGGAUGGACUCGCGGCUUUUCAGCUUGUUGGUGGGGUAGUGGCUUACCAAGGCUUUGACGGGUAGCCGGCCUGAGAGGGUGAACGGCGACAUUGGGACUGAGAUACGGCCCAGACUGCUACGGGAGGCAGCAGUGGGGAAUAUUGCACAAUGGGCGGAAGCCUGAUGCAGCAACGCCGCGUGCGGGAUGACGGCCUUCGGGUUGUAAACCGCUUUAGCCUGUGACGAAGCGUGAGUGACGGUAAUGGGUAAAGAAGCACCGGCUAACUACGUG